rnacentral:lncRNA from 1 species
UGUGCAGUGUGUCCAUGUGUGCAGUGUGUCCAUGUGUGCAGUGUGUCCAUGUGUGCAGUGUGUCCAUGCGUGCAGUGUGCCCGUGCGCAUGUGUAUAGUAUGUGCGUGUGUGUGCAGUGUGCGCACGUGUGCAGUGUGUCCAUGUGUGCAGUGUGUCCAUGCGUGCAGUGUGCCCGUGCGCAUGUGUAUAGUAUGUGCGUGUGUGUGCAGUGUGCGCACGUGUGCAGUGUGUCCAUGUGUGCAGUGUGUGCGUGUGUGUGCAGUGUGCCCAUGCGCAUGUGUAUAGCAUGUGUGUGUGUGCAGUGUGUGCACGUGUGUGUGUGCGCACGUGUGCAGUGUCCAUGCGUGCAGUGUGCCCGUGCGCGUGUGUAUAGCAUGUGCGUGCGUGUGUAGUGUGUGGUGUGUGCACGUGUGCACAUGUGUACAGUGUGUGCACGUGCCAGCCGGUGUGCGUGGGUGCUCCUUGCGCGCACGCCUGCCCGUGUGCACCCCUCAGGAUCCCGCCCCUCCCCAGCCAGGUCGGGCGGGAGUGUUCGCGGGACCUACCCGGAAGUGGCUCUCGCGCGCCGCGCCCUUGGCCACGUACAUCCGGCUCCUCUCGGUCUGCAGAUGCUCGUAGAAGGGCUCGUCCAGCGCGAAGCUGUCCAUCAGGUCGCAGCCCACGUACAGGCUGUAGGUCUCUCCCGUCACCUGCACGGUGACAUUCUUCCACUGGGAGUCAGCCAGGCCCACGUCCUCCAGGGAGAUGACAUGCUGCGUGCCGUCCACCCAGUAGGUGAGGUCCAGGGUGUCUGCGGGGCCGUUGGACACGAUCUCGAACUGCCUGUGCGCUGCUGCGGGGCCCUCCAGGAGCUGGUCCACACUAGCUCUCCAUCAGACUCGGCAUUUCCAGGCCCCCACUGUAUGCCAGGGUGUCGGUGA